rnacentral:tRNA from 1 species
GGACACUUAGCUCAGCUGGUUAGAGCACCUGCCUUACAAGCAGGGGGUCGCAGGUUCGAAUCCUGCAGUGUCCACCA